rnacentral:rRNA from 1 species
ACAGUCACUGACAUUAGAUACCCGGGUAGUCCAGGGUGUAAACGCUGCAGACUUGGUGUUGGGAACCCUUCGGGGGUGCUCAGUGCCGGAGAGAAGUUGUUAAGUCUGCUACUUGGGAGUACGUCCGCAAGGAUGAAACUUAAAGGAAUUGGCGGGGGAGCACCGCAACGGGAGGAGCGUGCGGUUUAAUUGGAUUCAACGCCGAAAACUCGCCAGCAGCGACUGUUACAUGAAAGUCAGGUUGAUGACCUUACUAGAUUUUCAG